rnacentral:rRNA from 1 species
GAUGAACGCUGGCGGCGUGCCUAACACAUGCAAGUCGAACGGACUUACAUUGAAGCCUAGCGAUAUGUAAGUUAGUGGCGGACGGGUGAGUAACGCGUGGGUAACCUGCCUUGUACUGGGGGACAACAGUUGGAAACGACUGCUAAUACCGCAUAAGCGCACAGCUUCGCAUGAAGCAGUGUGAAAAACUCCGGUGGUACAAGAUGGACCCGCGUCUGAUUAGCUGGUUGGUGAGGUUAACGGCCCACCAAGGCGACGAUCAGUAGCCGGCCUGAGAGGGUGAACGGCCACAUUGGGACUGAGACACGGCCCAAACUCCUACGGGAGGCAGCAGUGGGGGAAUAUUGCACAAUGGGGGAAACCCUGAUGCAGCAACGCCGCGUGAGUGAAGAAGUAUUUCGGUAUGUAAAGCUCUAUCAGCAGGAAAGAAAAUGACGGUACCUGACUAAGAAGCCCCGGCUAACUACGUG